rnacentral:rRNA from 1 species
GACGAACGCUGGCGGCGUGCUUAACACAUGCAAGUCGAGCGGAGUGGCGAACGGGUGAGUAAUACGUGGGUAACUGCCCCCCUCUCUGGGAUAAAAGUUGGAAACGGCUGCUAAUACCGGAUAGAGGGGGAUGACUCGCGUCCUAUCAGCGUGUUGGUGGGGUAGUGGCCUACCAAGGCGGUGACGGGUAGCCGGCCUGAGAGGGUGACAGGCCACUUUGUGCUGAGAUACGGCCCAGGCUCCGACGGGGGGCAGCAGUUGGGGAUAUGGCACAAUGGGUGAAAGCCUGAUGCCGCGACGCCGCGUGGGGGAUGAAGGUUUUCGGGUUGUAAACCUCUGUCGCUAUCGAAAGGGUAGUUGGAGAAGAAGCGCCGGCUAACUACGUGCCAGCAGCCGCGGUAAUUC